rnacentral:rRNA from 1 species
CCUACGGGAGACAGCAGUGGGGAAUAUUGCACAAUGGUCGAAACCCUGAUCCAGCGACGCCGCGUGAGUGAAGAAGUAUCUCGGUACGUAAAGCUCUAUCAGCAGGGAAGAAAAUGACGGUACCUGACUAAGAAGCACCGUCUAACUACGAGCCAGCAGCCGCAGUAAUACGGAGGGAGCAAGCGGUAUCCGGAUUUACUGGGUGUAAAGGGGGCGUAGACGGCAGCACAAGUCUGGAGUGAAAUCCCGGGGCUUAACCCCGGAACUGCCUUGGAAACGGGGAGGCUGGAGUGGGGGAGGGGUAAGCGGAAUUCGGAGUGUAGCGGUGAAAUGCAGAGAUAUCAGGAGGAACACCGGUGGCGAAGGCGGCUUACUGGACUCUAACUGACGUUGAGGCUCGAAAGCGUGGGUAGCAAACAGGAUUAGAUACCCUGGUAGUC